GUAGUUCUCUGUUUCAAAUCUGUGCUUCCAGGAAGUGGAAAAUGCUGCCUGCUGGAGGCAGGCAGAAUGCAAGGGGCAGCUGAGCCUGUGCUCCUCAUCCAAGGGCCUUGAUUCUGAUCUGCAGCCCCUCCUUUCAGGGCCUCUCAACUCCCACACAGUCCUGCCAGCCAGCCAGCCUUGCCCUGGAAUACCCUCUCCUGGGCCACCUGCUGGUGGUGAACAUCUUGGGUUCUGUUCUGUGGCUUGAUGUGGCUGAGUCAUAAGACCUUUCUUUUUACUGUUAAGCUUUAAUAGAAGCCUUCUGGCCAGGAGCAAUGCCUCAGGUCUACCUUGUGGGGAUGGCCUAAUGAUGUCUACUGACCAUUGCUUCUCCCCACAGGGCCAGAUAAACAUGUGUGUGGUCUGGUGGGGGGAAGGAUGCAGCCCAAGGGGCAGGGGGCUCUUCUAGGUAGAUGCCAGUUCUGGGCAGGUAUGACUUCCUAGGAUGGAUAGGGAAGACAGAGCCCUGGUACCCCAACUCUCAUGGAUGAGCCUCCCCCUCAUCCUCCCAAGCCAGUCUCCAGUACCUCUUAGUCUGGCUGCCCUCCAGCAGUGGCCCAGACCAGCCUCCUAACUCACCGGUGACCACAUUUUCCAAACCAAAACUUAGAACUCGUGGUCUGACAAAGAAUUUAAGAAUUUCUGGUCACCUUCCAAGAGUAAGAGAGAAUAUUGGAAUCUCUAGGCUAAUCUCUGUCGUUAAAGAGGACAUUAGGUUGGAAAUCUUUAAAUUCAGGAUUUCCUCUUAAUCAGGAAUUGUUCAUACAUUAUAUCAUUGAAACGUGAAAAGAGCCCCAGGAGGUAGCUAAUAGCUAUUUCCAUUAAUAGUUGAGAGCACUCAGAGAGAGGAAAUAACUUGCCCAAGAUGCUACGUUCCGGAAGUUUGAAUUCUCUCUGUCAGGAAGGGUUCUUUGGGGUGUGUGUAUGUGAGUGUGUGUGUGUGUAUGUGUAUGUGUCGCGCGGGGAUGGGACAAGGAGAGGCGCAGAAACAUCUUCGCAACUGCAGAACUGCAGACACGCACGCUAUUUAUUUGGGGCCUCGAAGAAGGGCAGCCAAGAACCGAGCUGCCCCGGUUGUCACUUCAGAGUUGGAAAUCCCCGAGCAAAGGGCUGGGUGGCCGCCCCAUCCCAUCAGGGUCUGGCCCCAGGCCUCCCGGCUCGGGAUGCGGGAAAAAGCCCCUCGACUUUGCAGGUCACAGCGCGGCCGCCGGGUCUCGCCUCUGCCCAGGUGCGGAUGCGGAGGCCGCGGCGUGGGCGAACGACUCCCCUGGCCACGUACCGGCCCCCCCUCCCCGGUCACAUGGACGCGCCUUCCGCAGCCGGGAGUGCGGAGAGGAACGAACCACGAGGAGGAGCGGGGGAGGCGCCGAGGGCAGUGGGUCACAGCCCCGCGGGGCAGGUUUUUCGUUGGAAUAUACGUUGCACAUUUAUGGCGAUUCUGAGCGUGAGGGCAGACUUCUGCCAGGCUCAGCACAGCGUUUUCGCUGACAAGUGA
rnacentral:lncRNA from 12 species